UUAGUUGGUAGUGCGUCUGCCUUGUAAGCGCUAGGCCGCGGGUUCGAUUCCCGCCCGGGGCG
rnacentral:tRNA from 1 species